rnacentral:rRNA from 1 species
UACGUAGGGGGCAAGCGUUGUCCGGAAUUAUUGGGCGUAAAGAGCGCGUAGGCGGUCCGAUAAGUCGGCUGUGAAAGUCAAGGGCUCAACCCUUGGAAGCCGGCCGAUACUGUCGGACUAGAGUCCGGAAGAGGCGAGUGGAAUUCCCGGUGUAGCGGUGAAAUGCGCAGAUAUCGGGAGGAACACCAAUGCGAAGGCAGCUCGCUGGGACGGUACUGACGCUGAGGCGCGAAAGCGUGGGGAGCAAACAGGG